CUACGUGCCAGCAGCCGCGGUAAUACGGAAGGUCCUGGCGUUAUCCGGAUUUAUUGGGUUUAAAGGGAGCGCAGGCUGCACUUUAAGCGUGUUGUGAAAUGUACCGGCUCAACCGGUAACGUGCAGCGCGAACUGGGGUGCUUGAGUACGAAGAGGGAAGGCGGAACUCGUGGUGUAGCGGUGAAAUGCUUAGAUAUCACGAGGAACUCCGAUCGCGAAGGCAGCUUUCCGUUUCGGAACUGACGCUGAGGCUCGAAAGUGCGGGUAUCGAACAGGAUUAGAUACCCUGGUAGUCCGCACGGUAAACGAUGGAUGCUCGCUGUUGGAUAUUUUUAUUCAGUGGCUAAGUGAAAACGUUAAGCAUCCCACCUGGGGAGUACGCCGGCAACGGUGAAACUCAAAGGAAUUGACGGGGGCCCGCACAAGCGGAGGAACAUGUGGUUUAAUUCGAUGAUACGCGAGGAACCUUACCCGGGCU
rnacentral:rRNA from 1 species